UGAUUAUGUUGGUAAACUUUUAUUUUAUAUUGUAGCUUCCAAACUUUGUUCUGUCAGGAAGUUUUAAGUAUAUUUGUAUACUUAUAAACAAUACCAAGUUUUAAGAGAAGAUGUUUAUAAUUCAGAAUAUAAUGGAACUAAUAAUCAAGAUGGAUAUUAUGUUCCAAACAAGUAACUUGCUGUGUUUUCUUUUCAAUGGAUUCAAGUGAGUUUUUAAGAGCAAUUUGAUGAUCUUGUUACGAAAAUCAGAUAUGAUAAAAGUUUGUUCAACUUAAAGAUUAAACCUUUCCUAUUUAUUUAAUGGGUUGGGUUGAGGUUUAUAAAUUGUAUUUAUAUUUCUUAAGUUAGUUUAUGAAGUCAAAUUAUCAUAAGACAUGUUGUUUGGAGUUAGAGAUUGAUAUAGUGAAUUGGAUUAGUAGAAUGGUUUGUAAAUAAGCAGUUGUGGGUAGUUCAUGAAAGAGGUUAGAAGGUAUGAGAAAGUUAAUUUCUUUAUCUAAUUGUAGUAAGGAUGUUAAUUGUUGUUCAUAUUAUUGUGAGGUGAUUGAUGGAGAUUGAUAAAGAAUUUAGAGAUGUCGGACCCUUGAAGAUUAUAAUGGAAUCGAGCGUUCUUUGGGGAAAUGAAGGAGAAGCUGCUAAAGCAGUGACGUACAACAUUUGUGGAGAAGGUUUGCUCAUUAUGUGUUAGAGCGGGUAUUGCUCUGGAGCGGAUAUUGCUCCGUUAUGUGAGGGUCAUGACCUAAAAGUCUUGCAAGCAGUACAAAAUGGAAGAGGGAGACGUCCCUUGUAUAAAGCUUAGAGAAUUCGCCUGAAAGGCAACUCUAUUCGUGUUCUCUUCUCCAGUAUAAUAUGAUUUCUGAAAGAAAAUAGAAUAUGUAUAUGAGUAUUCGAGUGGUUUGUGGAAAGUUAUUUCUAACUUUAAUUUCUGAAAUAAUGUUUUACUCACCCAAGUUUUAGAGUUCAUGCGCCAAUAUUGGAAAUGAUUAUCAAGGAACUUGUUAGGAAUUUAUGCAGGAGUUAACUAUGAUAUACAUAUGGAUUAAAGGUUUUUGGAUCAUAUGGAUUGAAUGUCUUUGUGUAUGAUCCACAGAAGUGGGAGAGAUUUAUUGACGUAAGGUAUGUUAGAGUUGACUUUGAAGGAUCGUAUUAGUUCUAUGGAAGUAGCAUUACAAACCGUGUUCAAAUAUUUAUCAUAUACUUCUUUAUUUAUGACUUCGAUGUA